GACGAACGCUGGCGGCGUGCUUAACACAUGCAAGUCGAACGGAAAGGCCCUGCUUGCCGGGUGCUCGAGUGGCGAACGGGUGAGUAACACGUGGGUGAUCUGCCCCUUACUUUGGGAUAAGCCUGGGAAACUGGGUCUAAUACUGGAUAGGACCAUGCUGUAGGUGGUGUGGUGGAAAGAUUAGUUUCGGUAAGGGAUGAGCUCGCGGCCUAUCAGCUUGUUGGUGGGGUAAUGGCCUACCAAGGCGUCGACGGGUAGCCGGCCUGGGAGGGUGGACGGCCACAUUGGGACUGAGAUACGGCCCAGACUCCUACGGGAGGCAGCAGAGGGGAAUAUUGCACAAUGGGCGCAAGCCUGAUGCAGCGACGCCGCGUGGGGGAUGACGGCCUUCGGGUUGUAAACUCCUUUCAGCCAUGACGAAGCCCUUGUGGUGACGGUAGUGGUAGAAGAAGCACCGGCUAACUACGUG
rnacentral:rRNA from 1 species